rnacentral:rRNA from 1 species
GACGAACGCUGGCGGCGUGCUUAACACAUGCAAGUCGAACGGAAAGGCCCUGCUUUUGUGGGGUGCUCGAGUGGCGAACGGGUGAGUAACACGUGAGUAACCUGCCCUUGACUUUGGGAUAACUUCAGGAAACUGGGGCUAAUACCGGAUAGGAGCUCCUGCUGCAUGGUGGGGGUUGGAAAGUUUCGGCGGUUGGGGAUGGACUCGCGGCUUAUCAGCUUGUUGGUGGGGUAGUGGCUUACCAAGGCUUUGACGGGUAGCCGGCCUGAGAGGGUGACCGGCCACAUUGGGACUGAGCUACGGCCCAGACUCCUACGGGAGGAAACAGUGGGGAAUAUUGCACAAUGGGCGGAAGCCUGAUGCAGCAACGCCGCGUGCGGGAUGACGGCCUUCGGGUUGUAAACCGCUUUCGCCUGUGACGAAGCGUGAGUGACGGUAAUGGGUAAAGAAGCACCGGCUAACUACGU